UCAGAUAUAAAUCACAAAGCAUUGUACAACAUGAUAAAGAUCAGGGCAAAUACCUCUAACCAAUAAAAACAUCCGAAAAACAAUAGCAGUGAUAAACGUAGAAAAUAAAAUCAUGAGUAUAAACAAAGUGAAGGUGUGAACAAGAACAAAGCCAUCUUUUUGAAACAUUUAGGGAGGGAACGCCUAGAUGAAAAGGUGAGAUUUUAUAUGAUUUUUAAAGACCUCUACAGUGUUAGAGAGACGGAGAUUUGAAGGUAGACUGUUCCAAAGUCUGGGUUCAAUAGUCUGAAAGGCCCUGUCCCCUUUUGUUUUCAGUCUGGUUCGAGGAACAGUCAGGAGGUUUUCAGAUGUGGAUCUAAGGUUCCGAGAGGUGGUGUGUGGGGAUAAAAGCUCAUAUAGGUAGCUUGGAGCCUGGUUGUUAAAGAGGGGGUCAAUUGAGCCUCGGAGUCCUUCUCUACCCACGUAUCAAUUUUAAAAAAUGCAACAUUAGUAGGCGUUGCCUGGAGGACCGAGAGGGCGGAGCCGCGGCAGUGACGAAGACGACGGCUAACUAGACGAUGCUAGCUCCCUUCACUCUAUGCAGUUAUUAGAAGUGGAGGAUGUUUCUCCCCCUCCUUACCCAGACACUCGAGAAGAAAGGGACCAAGUCUAUUUGGAGGAGACAAGCGGACCUGAGCCUUAUUGUUGUGAGCUUGUGAGUUGCCUGAAACUCCCAGAACCGACCCAACAGAACCACCUCUGAACGUCCUCUGGUGUCUGCAGCUGGUCUCUGGUGUCUGCAGGUGGUCUCCUCUGCUGGUGCCAUCAGGAUCAGGAGCUUCCAGAAGAAUGUGCCUUUCAAUGACUCUUUCCUCCUUAUUUGUUAUAUUAAUUAAAUAAAUCUCAAUUUA